rnacentral:rRNA from 1 species
UACGAAGGGGGCUAGCGUUGUUCGGAAUUACUGGGCGUAAAGGGCGCGUAGGCGGUGUGUCAAGUCGGGCGUGAAAGCCCCGGGCUCAACCUGGGAACCGCGCUUGAGACUGGCACGCUCGAGUUCGGGAGAGGAUGGUGGAAUUCCCAGUGAUAGAGGUGAAAUUCGUAGAUAUUGGGAAGAACACCGAUGGCGAAGGCAGCCAUCUGGACCGACACUGACGCUGAGGCGCGAAAAGCGUGGGGGAGCGAAACAGG